rnacentral:rRNA from 1 species
AGAGUUUGAUCAUGGCUCAGAAUCAACGCUGGCGGCGUGCCUAACACAUGCAAGUCGAACGCGAAAGCCCCGCAAGGGGCAAGUAGAGUGGCAAACGGGUGAGUAACACGUGGGUGACCUGCCUUCGAGCGGGGGAUAACGUCCCGAAAGGGACGCUAAUACCGCAUAACAUCCUGCCUUUGAAGAGGUGGAGAUCAAAGCCGGGGAUCGCAAGACCCGGCACUUGAAGAGGGGCCCGCGCCUGAUUAGCUCGUUGGUGGGGUAAUGGCCUACCAAGGCAACGAUCAGUAUCCGGCCUGAGAGGGCGGACGGACACACUGGGACUGAGACACGGCCCAGACUCCUACGGGAGGCAGCAGUGGGGAAUUGUUCGCAAUGGGCGCAAGCCUGACGACGCAACGCCGCGUGGAGGAUGAAGAUCUUCGGGUCGUAAACUCCUGUCGAAUGGGACGAACAGAUUGCGGGCUAACAGCCCGUGAUCCUGACGGUACCGUUAAAGGAAACCCCGGCUAACUCCGUGCCAGCAGCCGCGGUAAUACGGGGGGGGUAAGCGUUGUUCGGAAUUACUGGGCGUAAAGGGCUCGUAGGCGGCCAACUAAGUCAGACGUGAAAUCCCUCAGCUUAACUGGGGAACUGCGUCUGAUACUGGAUGGCUUGGAUUCGGGAGAGGGAUGCGGAAUUCCAGGUGUAGCGGUGAAAUGCGUAGAUAUCUGGAGGAACACCGGUGGCGAAGGCGGCAUCCUGGACCGAUAUUGACGCUGAGGAGCGAAAGCUAGGGGAGCAAACGGGAUUAGAUACCCCGGUAGUCCUAGCCCUAAACGAUGAAUGCUUGGUGUAGCGGGUAUCGAUCCCUGCUGUGCCGAAGCUAACGCAUUAAGCAUUCCGCCUGGGGAGUACGGUCGCAAGGCUGAACUCAAAGGAAUUGACGGGGGCCCGCACAAGCGGUGGAGCAUGUGGUUCAAUUCGACGCAACGCGAGAACCUUACCCAGGCUUGAACUGCGAGUGACACACUCCGAAAGGGGUCUUCCGCAAGGACACUCGUAGAGGUGCUGCA